rnacentral:lncRNA from 1 species
UUUUAUUUAUAAAUUUAUAAUUAUUUAUUAAUAUUUUUAAAUAUAUAACUCUUAUAUAUUAUUAAUAUAUAUUUAUUAUAAUUUUAAAUAUAUUUAAUCUAUAUAUAAAUAUUAUAAUAAUAAUAAUAUAUAUAGUAUAAUAUCAAAUUUUUAAAAAUUAUAUAUAAAAAUUAUAUUUGAUUCCGAAUUUUUAAUUGGUGAACGUAUAAUACCCGUAUAAAUCACGUAUCCGAAUAACUGCCGAAUCCGUUUUUUAGCCGUAUUUUUCAACGAAUUUAAAAAAUAAAAGACGAAUUUUAUCCGAAUUAUAUCCGUACCGAAUUUUUGCCAAAUUCGAAUUAGCUAACUAUGCCUCCAGCCACCAAGGUUGGUUUAGCUGCAAUCGAUCUCAUCCAUUCAUUUACUUGCUCCCGACGCUAAUUAAUUAAUUGAUAUUUGAAGGGCAAAUAAGAAAAGUAUUUGCUAUAUGAAGGGUAUAUAAGAAAAGUUAGUUACGGUACAAGGGUAUAUUGGAAUAGGUAAAAUGGUAAUUUUUCAGAGAUAAUGGCAGCUCACUAACGGAACUUAACUACAGGGAUAUAUUAGAAAGACUUGGAACAUAAGAAGAGUAUUUUCAAUAUUAGCCUUUUAAGAGGGGUAAAUAAGAAAACCGAGAACUUUUCAGGAGUAUAUAGGCAAUUGCCCCUUUUUUUAUUUACCUAUUAUUAAGGGAAUCAGUUUUUUUAGAAAAUUAUAAAAUUUGAGUCUUAUAAUGUUGGAGGGAUAACCCAGAACAAUGCAUAAUAUCCUCCUUUAUCCCCCCAAACACAAUGCAAAAUGGAAUAUCUCCCUUGUUCUGGGUUUAACGGGUUAUUCCUGAAUAACCCGUUAAGUCCAGUUCUCCUUUACAUGAAGAACAAGCUAACUAGAACAGAAAAUUUUAUGCUACUAAAUUAAUGUUUCUAAGGUGAUUUGUAAACAUACCAAAUUUGUGAAAUAAUCUGCUCUUCUAUAUUUAAAAUUAUAUAUUUAUAUUUAAUUUUAAUUAAUUUUAAACAUAAAAUUAGAAGUAUAUUUUUACUGCUAUAUUCAAAAUUAUACUAUCUAUAUCUAUAAUCUAUAAUCUAUAAUNGCCACCAAGGUUGGUUUAGCUGCAAUCGAUCUCAUCCAUUCAUCUACUUGCUCCCGACGCUAAUUAAUUAAUUGAUAUUUGAAGGGCAAAUAAGAAAAGUAUUUGCUAUAUGAAAGGUAUAUAAGAAAAGUUAGUUACGGUAUAAGGGUAUAUUGGAAUGGGUAAAAUGGUAAUUUUUCAGAGAUAAUGGCAGCUCACUAACGGAACUUAACUACAGGGGUAUAUUAGAAAGACUUGGAACAUAAGAAGGGUAUUUUCAAUAUUAGCCUUUUAAGAGGGGUAAAUAAGAAAACCGAGAACUUUUCAGGAGUAUAUAGACAAUUGCCCCUUUUUUUAUUUACCUAUUAUUAAGGGAAUGAGUUUUUUUAAAAAAUUAUAAAAUUUGAGUCUUAUAAAGCUGCGUUUAGUUGGAGGGAUAACCCAGAACAAGGCGUAAU